ACUCCCGAGCACGAGCAGAACACGCUUUGCCCUCGCACAGCAACUCCCGACCCCGACACCCAGCCGGCCAGCCGCCUCGCCGUCGCGGCGUCGCCGGUCGACGGCCGGAGCCCGGAGCCCAGUCGUCCAGGAGGCUCCCUCCAACCCUUCCCGGCUUCCCGCCCGGCCAACCUCCCGGUCCAGCCGCGCCCCUGCCCUGCGCGCGGCUGCGCCCCUGCCGUGCGCUCCCGCGGUCCCGGCGUCCCGCCUCCCCUUCCCGGCUUCCCUCCGUCCCGGCCACCCCCCUGCAAAGCCCCACCACGGCGGCAACAAGUUACAAGCGAGCAAACUGACCAAUUUAAGAUGUGGCGAGCCGCUGUUCUGCUAUGCUUCAUUCUUCAAGGUGCCACUGUUGCUGCUGAUAACGAGACAUGGGGCUACGUUGAAAUUCGUCACAAGGCGCACCUAUUUUGGUGGUACUACAAAAGCCCACAUCGGGUGUCCUCGCCAGUAAAGCCAUGGCCAACCAUCCUCUGGUUGGAGGGCGGUCCGGGAGGGUCAGGCGUCGGGGGUGGCAACUUCCAGGGGAUCGGGCCGCUGGAUGUCAAUCUGAAGCCACACAACUCGACGUGGCUGCAGAAGGCUGAUCUCAUCUUCGUGGACUUACCAGUGGGUGUUGGGUAUAGCUACGUGGAGGACCCAAGCGUGCUAGCUACGACGGACGUGCAAGUUGCUGCUGAUGCCACCGAGCUCCUCAAGGCACUUACCAAGGAGAUACCCACCUUGCACAGCAGCCCGUUGUUCCUUGUCGGUGAGUCCUAUGGUGGCAAGCUUGCAGCGAAGAUUGGAAUCUCCGUGGCAAAGGCCAUCCACGCCGGGGCCCUCAAGCUCACACUAGGGGGUGUGGUGCUUGGGGAUAGCUGGAUCUCACCAGAUGAUUUUGCGCUGUCAUAUGCGCAACUGUUGCGUGAUGUAUCGAGGCUGAGCGACGAAGCUGUUGCCCCUCUCAACAGAAUGGCGGCAAUUGUAAAAGAGCAGAUAGCAGCCGGACAAUUCACCACGGCGAAGAUGACGUGGACGAAUCUUGUUGAUUUGAUUGACCAGCAGAGUGAUGGCGUGGAUAUGCUAAAUUUCUUGCUUGACAAAGGCGAAGGCUCAUCGACGAGCCAGGUGUUUCCGUCGACCCCCAACACCAUUGACGGUCUCAUGAAUGGGGUCGUUAAAGAAAAGUUGAAGGUUAUUCCUAAGAACAUAAUUUGGCAAGGAGUGGCUAUUCAAGUUUUCGAAGCAAUGAAUGCCACCUACAUGAAGCCAGCAAUCGAUGAGGUUGAUCAAUUGCUAGCAUAUGGAGUAAAUGUGUCGGUUUACAAUGGGCAAUUUGAUGUGAUAUGCUCGACAAUCGGUGUAGAAGCUUGGGUCAAAAAACUCAACAUACAUAGCAUGGGCUUCAAGGCAGAGUUACAGGGGCACGACAAGCUGUGCAGAGAGGUAGUCACGCCAAGACAUAGCGGAGGAGUCACAGGGGUAGCCAUGGACCAAAGAUCUUGGAAGCUUGGAGGGGUAAAUGCCGAGAGUGUUGCGAACCAGGGUGGCCUUCGGGCAGUGGAGGAACAAAUGGUUUGUGGCUUUAGAUACACAGGAGCACAAACCAUUUCCAGCUGGAAACCCAAGGAAGGGGGGUGGAGGAGGCUAAACAUUGUAAAACAAAUUUCAUAAGCAAGUCUCCUCCACGGUCCAGAAGAAAGCACGUCGGAUUGCGUCGAGCGCCUCAAAGCUUUUUGGGGGAGUUGGAAAACUGACAUGAAGUAGGUGGCGAGGGAGUCGAAAACGAAGGAGGUGAGGGUUAGCCUAGCUGGCGGUGCAGAAGAGGAGCUUAGCCCUCUACCCUGUUUGAUAUUUGAAGCUGUUAAAAGAGAGAGGGAGUGUGUAGGCAGAGAGAGGGAGGCCGAGGUACGUUUGUGGGAAGGAGGACACAGACCAGCCAAUCCAUGCCUUGUGCAUAAGAAGCGCUUCCACAUAAUGGCGUCAUCCACGAGUCACACUCAGUAGUGAAUGAUGGACACUGUAACAGAACAAAGACGGGUCGAUUAGUACCAUAAUGCAUAUGGGCUGGUCUGAAGAGUUUCUUGAGCACGCCAAGGCAGGCUUUGCGAUACUGUGAUUCUCCAGCGCGCUGCCUCAACCCCGUGAAGGCAUACGCUAGAUCAUACCAGAACCUGAACUUCUACUGGAUCCUCGGAGCUGG